ACCCAUUCCGUUUGGGAUAUUUAGACAUUCAGAAGAGGCACCCGAGACCUGAUGCCCGACAGGGGUUGGAGCUCAGAGUUGGUGCUGACAAGAGAGGCUGGAAGUGAGGACCAUCUGCAUGGAGGUGUCAGCUUCUCACAGGUGACCCUGACGACCCACCACCCCAGCUGUUCUCCAUCACCUGACAGCUGAGCCUCCAAGAUGCUGGCGAGUUCUGCCUGUGCAUGGCUUUGACCAGCUCCAGCCAGAAAGAGGAACUUUCAGAGUCCAGGUUUGGGGCCUGUGGAUGAGUUACCUGUUACCAAGAAAGGUUACCGAGUCUCCAUCACUCUUUUGGGAAUGAGGCCACUUCCUACUGACAGAUCCUGUAGCUAUUUAUGGAGAGUUUUGGCCUUUCAGCAUCCAAUCCCUCUUUCAAUCAGGAGGCGUUCUCCACUGUGUAUUAUCUGAGAGGGUCCCAAUGUACCACCUCCUGCUGUGGAAGCCAAAGCUGGGGUGGGGGAAGCAGGAGGUGAGAAUGUGACUCAGGAUCAGUCAACCACAUGGGACCCUGAAUCUUGCAGGAGAGGCAGAAAGAGUCAGAUGUGGUUUAUAAAUUAUUGGCAGUUAUUGAAAGUCUAGAGGUGCAGCAUCAAGUGUCCAGCAUGGUGACAUCUCACUCCAGUAUUCUAAUUACUUUCUCCCGUAGUGAACUGGGCUCUGGUUCCAGCUCCCUGGCCUCCUUUGCUUUCUGUGUAUUUCCUGGGCCUGGCCUGGCCUUCCAGCCUUUAUGCCUUGCAGUGAAUUUUCCUUUCAUCCAAGUUAGUCAGACUGGGUUUCUGUUGCUUGCUGCCAAGAACCUUGACAAUGUAGAACAGCGAAGGGAUGUGCUAUAAGGCAUGAGCAAUAGGUUCAACUGGACCCAAGACACACACACUGUAUGAAAGUUACCCUCCUGCAAGCGACCCAGAAUGUCAAUCCUCCAGUGAGAGAGACAGAGAAUAAAUAAAUGUCUAUACAUAAAUACACACACACACACACACACACACACUCACACACACACACACAUAUGUCAGGUGGUGACAAGAGAAAAAUAAAGUACAAUGAAGGAGUAGAGAUCGAGUGGGCAGUAUUUUAGAUGGGGUGGUCAGAGAAGGGGGAGGUGAGCAGAGGCCUGAGUGGAGUGACAGAGCAGCCAAGUCGGGUACUCAGAAGAGCUUUCCAGGCAAAGGGAGCCCCAAGUGAAAAGAUGCCAAGGCAAAAAAAAAAGUGUCACCUCUCUGUCUCUCCUGCUGGCACAGCUUCCUGAGAGCAGGGACUCUGUCUGUUUUCUUCACAUCCACCAGGCCUAGGACACUUUCUGUCAUGUAAAUAUCUGUUCAUGAAUGAAUAUCUGCCUGGCACGCAGGGUACAGUUCUUCACACAUCAUUUGCAGUUCUUCCCGAUUUGCCUACAGUGGGGCAUAGGAUGGGAAGGAACUCGUCAGGAGUAGGUUUCAGACAUGGGACCUGGGUGAGACAGGAUAGGUUACCUUAGUUGUCCCCUGAAACUCAAUAUGAUCCUCAUGCAGUUGUCAGGAGGGGUUAUAUUAUUUCAUGUUUGUAAAGGUCUUAGCACCAAGGGCACAGGCCUUUAUGUUCUAGAGGUUGGCUGUUAUUAUUACUGUUCUUACCAAUCAAUAAUAAACUGUAAAUCU
ensembl:lncRNA novel transcript